GGCAUGGUGAUGCAGUGGUUAGCACUUUUGCCUCUCAGCAGGAAAGUUCUGGGUUCGAUCCCCACGCCUGGGGCCU